GACGAACGCUGGCGGCGUGCUUAACACAUGCAAGUCGAACGGAAAGGCACUGCUUUUGUGGGGUGCUCGAGUGGCGAACGGGUGAGUAACACGUGAGUAACCUGCCCUUGACUUUGGGAUAACUUCAGGAAACUGGGGCUAAUACCGGAUAGGAGCUCCUGCUGCAUGGUGGGGGUUGGAAAGUUUCGGCGGUUGGGGAUGGACUCGCGGCUUAUCAGCUUGUUGGUGGGGUAGUGGCUUACCAAGGCUUUGACGGGUAGCCGGCCUGAGAGGGUGACCGGCCACAUUGGGACUGAGAUACGGCCCAGACUCCUACGGGAGGCAGCAGUGGGGAAUAUUGCACAAUGGGCGGAAGCCUGAUGCAGCAACGCCGCGUGCGGGAUGACGGCCUUCGGGUUGUAAACCGCUUUCGCCUGUGACGAAGCGUGAGUGACGGUAAUGGGUAAAGAAACACCGGCUAACUACGU
rnacentral:rRNA from 1 species